GACAGAGGGGGCAAGCGUUGCUCGGAAUUACUGGGCGUAAAGGGCGCGUAGGCGGAAUGGCAAGUCGGUCGUGAAAUCCUUCGGCUCAACCGAAGAACGUCGAUCGAAACUGCCGUUCUUGAGGAUUGCAGAGGAGACUGGAAUUCCCGGUGUAGCGGUGAAAUGUGUAGAGAUCGGGAGGAACACCGGUGGCGAAGGCGGGUCUCUGGGCAAUUCCUGACGCCGAGGCGCGAAAGCGUGGGGAGCAAACGGG
rnacentral:rRNA from 1 species